AGCAUCACUAUCCUUUGACAAACUGUAAUUAGUAAUCAGUUAGUCAAGGAGUUGAUUGCUGG
rnacentral:pre_miRNA from 1 species